rnacentral:rRNA from 1 species
GACGAACGCUGGCGGCGUGCUUAACACAUGCAAGUCGAACGGAAAGGCCCUGCUUUUGUGGGGUGCUCGAGUGGCGAACGGGUGAGUAACACGUGAGUAACCUGCCCUUGACUUUGGGAUAACUUCAGGAAACUGGGGCUAAUACCGGAUAGCAGCUCCUGCUGCAGGGUGGGGGUUGGAAAGUUUCGGCGGUAGUGGAUGGACUCGCGGCUUAUCAGCUUGUUGGUGGGGUAGUGGCUUACCAAGCCUUGGACGGGUCGCCGGCCUGAGAGGGUGACCGGCCACAAUGGGACUGAGAGACGGCGCAGUCUCGUACGGGAGGCAGCAGGGGGGAAUCUUGCACAAUGGGCGGAAGCCUGAUGCAGCAGCGCCGCGUGCGGGAUGACGGCCUUCGGGUUGUAAACCGCUUUCGCCUGUGACGAAGCGUGAGUGACGGUAAUGGGUAAAGAAGCACCGGCUAACUACGUG